CCGAGUGUAAAAACUCCAAAACCAUUUGUGAACCUUACCUCUUUUUCACGAUCUUUCGGUGGACGAUCCCCUGAGGACGUCCGCCGAAGGGAUUUUUAAACUCUUGCUAUAGCAGUCUUCUGAGUACCAUACAAAUAAAUUA
rnacentral:misc_RNA from 1 species